rnacentral:rRNA from 1 species
AGUGAACGCUGGCGGUAGGCCUAACACAUGCAAGUCGAACGAGUGGCGGACGGGUGAGGAGUACAUCGGAAUCUACUCUGUCGAGGGGGAAAAAGUAGGGAACCUUACGCUAAUCCCGCAUACGAUUGUAUGAGCCGACGUCGGAUUAGCGAGUUGGGGGGGGAAAGGCCAACCAAGGCGACGAUCCGUAGCUGGUCUGAGAGGAUGAUCAGCCACACUGGGACUGAGACACGGCCCAGACUCCUACGGGAGGCAGCAGUGGGGAAUAUUGGGCAAUGGGCGCAAGCCUGAUCCAGCCAUACCGCGUGGGUGAAGAAGGCCUUCGGGUUGUAAAGCCCUUUUGGUGGGGAAGCGGUACCCAAAGAAUAAGCACCGGCUAACUUCGUGCCAGCCGCCGCGGUAAUUC